rnacentral:rRNA from 1 species
GGUUUUAAGAUUUUGAAUUUAAAAUUUAUUCUGCUCAAUGAUGAAUAUUUAAAUGGCUGCGGUAAAUUGACUGUGUUAAAGUAGCAUAAUAAUUAGUUUAUUAAUUGUGAACUUGGAUGAAUGGAUGGAUAAAGCAUUGGCUGUCUUUGUUUAAUAAAUGUUGAAUUUUAUGUUUUAGUUAAAAAGCUUAAUUGAUUUUAUGGGACGAGAAGACCCUGUAGAACUUUAUUUAAUUUAAUUAUAUAUUUUUAUUUAAGAAAUUAUUAAUUAAUAUUGGAUUUUAUUGGGGUGAUAGAUAGAAUUAAAAAAUUUUAUUUUUGAUAGUUACUUUAUGAAGGAUUAAAUUUUUUAAUAUAUGAAUUUUUUUUUGAAUAAAAAUGAGUUACCUUAGGGAUAACAGCGUAAUUUAUAUGGAGAGUUCUUAUUAAUAUUUAAGUUUGCGACCUCGAUGUUGAAUUAAGAUUAAAAUUUGCAGAAGUUUGUGAAGUUUUUAGGUCUGUUCGACCUUUAAAAUCUUACA